CCUACGGGUGGCAGCAGUGAGGAAUAUUGGUCAAUGGGCGGGAGCCUGAACCAGCCAAGUCGCGUGAGGGAAGACGGUCCUAUGGAUUGUAAACCUCUUUAGUCGGGGAGCAAUGCCGGGCACGCGUGCCCGGAGGGAGAGUACCCGCAGAAUAAGCCUCGGCUAACUCCGUGCCAGCAGCCGCGGUAAUACGGAGGAUGCGAGCGUUAUCCGGAUUUAUUGGGUUUAAAGGGUGCGUAGGCGGAUUUUUAAGUCAGCGGUAAAAUGUCCGGGCUCAACCCGGGCCGGCCGUUGAAACUGGAAGACUUGAGUGUGUUUGAGGUAGGCGGAAUGCGUGGUGUAGCGGUGAAAUGCAUAGAUAUCACGCAGAACUCCGAUUGCGAAGGCAGCUUACUAAGCCAUAACUGACACUGAAGCACGAAAGCGUGGGGAUCAAACAGGAUUAGAUACCCCAGUAGUC
rnacentral:rRNA from 1 species